UGAUAGGCAAUCAAAAUUCAGCAAUCAAAACCCAAAGCAACUUUUAAGGGUAAAGAGAAAAGAAAGAUGAAGAGAUUUUUUGUUUUUUUUCGUAUGGAUCCGCCUUAACUGUCCCAAGGUUGGGUUUCUCUUCAGCCAGCAGAGUUUCUCUUCCACCACUCCCCCUGGAUUUCUCUUUAGAAGUGAUUCAAGCCAAAACUUUACUCUCUUUUUUUAUCGUUUUUUUAAGGCGAUCACAAGGGAGUAAAGGUACAGCCCGGAUCCAGUAAGAAAUAAUAAAAGAAAUUUGUGAAGAGAUGACAAGAUGAAAAGAUGAAAUGAAAACAAACCAGCCAAAGUGGCUCUGAAACCACUUGAAACGCUCUAAAUUGAAGGAUCACUUUAUUUAGGUGUUAGAUAUGAACCGAGAAGGCAAACGACACUUCUGGAACUGAGAUGGAUUGAAAGGAUCGUCAAGGGAUGCAUAGUGACUCUUGAUAUACCCACGAUCUAAGGCUAACCACCUAAGAAAGAAUGUAGUGCGUUUGAUAAUCACCAAACAACACACAAAGAUGAAUUGGCUGACCACCAAAUCAACAAGACGGUUCACACCAAUGAACUAGCUAAAGAACUCUCUCUCUCUCACUCAGAGAAAAGAAGAAAACGAAAAUAAACUCCAAAAACAUAGACUGAUUUUAUUCAUAGAAUGAGAAUACAUAUUUAUAUUACUUGUGGUCAAAGACUAAUAAAGGAAUUGUGGAGAAAACAAGACAUAGAAAAUGAAAACAUUGACUAGAAAAUGAUAAAUGAGUCAAAGGUGCGGAAUCUGAUGAAAACCAGUCAAGAUAACCCUUCGGCUACUGUCCAGGUUCAUCCGAACUGGCUGUGUCCAAUGCGGUAAGGAGAAGGUCGCACGCGGGACUGUCCGGAUGGUCCGCCAAGUGAGAAUGCAUGUUUGUCUUUGGGUUCUUCACGACCCAACUUAAGGUUGGCUCGACUAUUGUCCUUAGAAUGUCGAGAUGGUCGGAAAAGACGAGCUCUGGUACGGUAAGUUCGGUCGUCUGGUUGUUCCAGCCAAAGCUCCUUUCCGGACAUACAUGGGUUGAUCCGGUACACUGCACGGUCGGUCUGUCUGGUACGGUCGGAUGGGCGAACCUCAGUUGAAUUGUUCAGAUCGUCCUGAUCUCCAUACUGAGCUGGUUCCAUGUACUGAUCUAUGGGCUGCGGUACUGAUCUAUGGGCUGUGGCACAUCACAAUAGAUAUUUAGAAAUUUUCGGUUUGAGUUCGGAUCAGUUCGGGUUCGGGUCGGUUCUUGUCUAUAAUUAAAAUAUCUAUAAAAUACUCAUAAUUUUUUGGGUCUAUAUCGGGUUCAGGUAUUUAGGAUCUGAAAAGGACAUAACAUACUCAACUAUAUCAAAUUUAGUCAAUAUUUGUCAAAUAUAUCUAAAAUUUUACAAAAUAACUUAAAUAAAACGAUCAAUAUUAUUAAAUUAGAAACAUGACCUAUUGAUAUAGGUUUAGUCUAAUUAUUCAUUUCGUUUUCUUAAGGAGCCAUUGGACCUAUUUUAAAAUAAAUUAAAUUUCAUGACCGUAACUAAAGAAAAACUACUUUUAAGCUGUUUACAUAUUUUGUAAUCCAAAAUCUAUAAUAUAAUCUAUAAUAUAAUAGGAGAGUUUCUCUCCCCCUGAGGCGACACGUCAGCACUUUUUAAAGGGGCCGAAUUUGUUUUUUGUAUAACACUUACGUUGCCCUGGCUAUAUUAACUAAAGUUUACUUGGCCCAGUGGUAUAACCCGCUCAUAGUAAAGCUUGAGAAUAUGGGUUCGAAGCCCCCUGGCUUCUUUUUUCGGAUUCCACUUUUUCUUAUUUUUUCUAGGUUGACGAGUGGGCUUUUUGACAGUGGGCCUCGCGUACAUUUUUUGUGUAGUGCCCGCAUAUUAUUUCAUCCGUUAACAACACUUUUAUUAUGUUUUGAUUUGUGGGCAGGAAUGAGUUUGUAAUUUAUAUUUAGAAGCCUAUUCUGAAACCUUUAACCCAGAGAUAACAAAACUCCUUCGACGACUAUUGAACUUCACUGAGAAAAACCAGACCUUCACUUCACCUUUUACCUCCUUUGUCUCUUCAUCUCCAUCUCUUGCUUACCCUCUUUCAACGUUUUGAUUUUCACCAGUUCAAUGAAUCUGUUGUUUCCAUUAAAGCCAUUUACUCCCUAGAUCUCUUUGUCUCCCUUUCUUUACAACCCAAGCUUUAUUCGACUUAAAACCAAAAGAACAACUCAAACCUUAUAAAGAAGAGACGUUUGCAAUCCAAGCUCAGGAACUAAAAUUGUGAACCUAUCAUUUUAACAUCGGGAACCUUGUCUCCCAUGGAUUCACUGGCUCAAGAACUAAAUAGACUUUCCUAUUCGUUUGGAGAAUCCCCAUGUUAUAUCCUCAAAUCAGCUGUGGGCUGGAGUUGUAAGCACUGGUCCAUCAGGGUGUGUUCUGAAUUCUAGGUACCGAAAUCGUGAUGUACCGGAGUACAAACAAGAACUUGGAAAUGCUAUUGUUAACUUUUCUCGAGUCGUACCUGAUGGACAGCGGGUCUUUUUCCCAUCCUAUUACCUUAUGGACCGUUGCAUUGCAUUUUGGAAAGAUGGGGGUCACAGACACUCGAUGAAAAUAUGGGAAAGAAUCAGCAAACUGAAGAAACCUGUCAUUGAACUUAAAGAUCCUCCCCUCUUUCCUGCUGCAAUGCUGGUACAUACAUCGCAGUACUAGGAACAACAAUGAAAAGAGGAUUUCUAUGUCCUUCAUAAAAAAGGCCUGCUGGUUUAUGCACGAUCCGUAAGUCUACGAGAGAAGUAUCGAUCGACACCCACCAAGCAGUAGCGAUCAACAGCGUGAACCAAGCAUCGAACGACACUAUUCAUCCGGUGUCAGACAACACUGUUCACCCAGUACUGUUCAUCCGGGCACUGUUCACUCUAGUACUGUUCAUCCCAGCACUGUUCAUCACGGUAUUGUUCACCUCGACACUGUCUACCCUCCGUCGAUCGAUACUGUUCAUCCGACGUCGAUCGAUACUGUUCAUCCGACGUCGAUCAAAAUUGUUCAUCCGACGUCAAUCGACACUUUUCUUCUGACGUUGAUUGACACUGUUCAUCACGCGUCGAUCGACACUGUUCACUGCGGUAAUGUUCAUCCUGACACUGUUCAUCUGGCCACUAUUCAUCUUGACACUGUUCAUCCUGUGAAAAACGACAACACUUGCGGGGAGACAGAGAAGAUCAAAGUGCUCGUUCUUAAGGUCGAUGAGAAUGAGAUGUUAAGAGACGAAGAAGGUCGCACUCGCAACAGUGCAUGACAAUUGAUUAAUGCUCUGGGUGGUGUGAUCCCUGAUGUGAUUGAUGUUGCUGAGAUGAAUGACUUUGAUCUGAGCCGAGAAUGGUAUGAUUGGGUAGGUCAAGACUCCUUCCAGGGUCGUCCUCACCACGAUCCCAUAAACCACAUCGCAGAGCUUGAGGAUCUCGUGUUAAGGAGUGAGCAGAAUGAAGUGUCUUAAUACCACAUGCUCUGCAAGAUCUUUCCCUAUUCUAUCUUUGGGGAUGCAUUUAGCUGGUUCAGUCAACUACAUUCAGGAUCUCUAACCAGCUGGGAGGACAUUGAAAGAGCUUUCCUUUACAAAUUUCUUGAUGAGGCGGAAGCAACUCGAGAAAAGGAGAAAAAUGAUAAAUGGGAUAGACUGGUCAAAAUUUGGCAUAUAAAGAAGGAAGAUCUGAUUCCAAGACAACUGGUUGACUACAUUAUGGCAGAGGGUGAUGAACAUCAUGGAUCUAGAGAGCCAAGCAAAGUAUAUAAAGUCAGCACUAGAGAUUCGACCUCAACAUCGAUCGACGGUACGACCUUAACGUCAAUCGACGGUACGACCUCAACAUCGACCAAUGACACAACCUCAACGUCGAUCGACGGUACGACCUCAACGUCGUCCAAGAGAAUGACCUCAACGUUGAUCGAUGGUACGAACUCAGAAAUGAUCGACAUCAUCUCAACAUCAAUCGACACAAAAUUUUGUCAUCAAUCGAUACCACUCGAAAUCCAUGAAAGAUCGAGUUGUUGUCCUCAGGACAUUGCAGACUCGACCCAUAAGAGCACUGAUGUAUCAAGUUGUUCUCCUUCCCCAGAUGUAGAAAAAUUAAUCACCAUGAAAGAUUUCUUGGAGCUAGAAGAGUUCUUGGGGUUGGAGGAUGGAGAAAAGCUUGAAGACUUGGAUUUGAGUAGAGAAGUUACUAUGGAAGACUUCUUAGAGAUCAAAAUUCGGAGAAGAAGCUUGAUGACGAUCAGCAUACUUCGAGAGGAGAUAUGGAGACUUCGCCAGAGGCUAGCAUCGAUCGACGCCAACAUGAUGAAAUCGAUCGAUAUACCAUACAUCAUCAAUCGACAUCUACCCUACGACAUCGAUUGACAGCAUCCACCCGACAUCGAUCGACACCCACCUGAUGAUAGCGAUCGACACUCAUUGUUGGACGAGCUACCAAGAUACAUAGUUGAGCAGGAGCCAGUUGAGAAAAGAGUGCACGAGUCUUAGGCCUCACACAAUGCUGACUCCAAACAUCUGAGACCACUUAUAUGCGCAUAAGAAGCUGGUGGGUUUCACAAAAGAGUGAAGAGGAUAUAUGACCCUGUGAAGUUUGUGGUUCCAUGCGCUGUAUUUGAGGCUGAAUCACCUAACCCACCAGAUAGAAGUAUGCAUCUAGGUUCCCACUGUGGGGUAUUUAAUGAUCAUAUACAGGCAGAAGCCUCUCAGAGAGGGUUGAUAUUUAGAAGUGAAAUCGAUACAUGUCCCACAGAUGCAAUAUCGAACGACAUCAACAAGCCGACAUCGAUCGACGCUACCACUUCUCCAUCGAUCGACACUGGACGCGUAUCAGAGCAGAAGGAGUUCGAAGUGUGUUGAAAUCUUUUUGAUGGAGAAACCACCAUGCGAUCAGAAGAGUCUGGGGGAAAGAAGAUGAGAAAUUGGAAGAAGAUGAAAAGGACCAAGGGAGGUUCUCAGUUAUCAUUGAUUCCUCGCUUCUCAGAUGGUGUCAGAAAAUCCAGAGUGCGUAACAUAUGCUUCUCACAGUCAUUUGCAAAGCUUCGAGCGCUCCUUAUUGCUGAGAUGAUAGACAAAGGAAAAGAGUCUAUGGAGGAGGCUUUUACACAAGAAUGAUAAAGCUUCAGAGAGUAGACAUUGAGAGUUGUUUUGGAGCGAGUUCUCAUUCUCAUCCGUACUAAAUCAGUUCUCCAAAAGUCAAGCUUAUGACUGAAAAUAAGCGCUGAGUGGGAGACAACUCACUAUUAGGUAAUUUCAUUCAGUUAGUUUAAAUUGUUAGUGAUUAAAGUUUUUAUUUAUUGCAGGCAAAAAAAAAGAUCCGAAGAAGACGAAUUUGCACGAGGAUCGACGAUGGUUGCGCAUCAUCGAUCGACAGAGCAUCACUAGCAUCGAUAGAUUGCCAUUUAAAUGUGUCGAUCAACAGGCCUUCAUGAGUAUUGAUCGCCACUUAACUGUUUUGGUUGACAGUCACAUCAAUGUCAUAUAUACCGUUUGUCCUUGUUUAAAUAGUGUCCUUAUGAUUUAUUUUCCCACUGAUCUUAGACUGUAUAACACUGGAGAUAGUGUUGUUUAAGUCUGGGGGAGGUUCAACUAAUAUUGUAUUUUAGUUAGAUAUUUAAAAAAAACAAAAAGAAACAGAUCCGAGUAGACGAUUGCUCAGCACAUCGACCGAUGAGACCAACUCGACAUCGAUCAACAUCACUUCAGCAACAAGGAUCGAUUGUGUCUUCAUUGUGUUGAAUGAUUGCUCUAGCCAUCGACCGAUGAGACCAUGUCGACAUCAAUCGACAACACUUCAGCAACAAGGAUCGAUUAUCACUUCAUUGUGUCGAUCGACACUGACAUCAUCGAGCAGGUUAUCAUUCUUACUUGCUACAUUGUGUACUUAUGUUUAUGUUAUCACCAUAACUCCGACUGAAUUUACACUGGGACAGUGUAGUUUAAGUAUGAGAGGAGGUUUACUGAUAUUAGUUUAUUUCAUGAGUCUUAUUAAAAUGUUUAAAAAAAAAAGUUUUUAUUGAGUUAAGAAGGGGACAAUGAACUUAUUGAUUUUGCUUGUUAUCUAACCACACCAUUCUAGACUUACUAGUUGCAUAUAGCACUAAAGAUACUAAAGUGGAUCAACCUGUCAACUAUGUUACACUUGCUGAGAAUGUUUGAAGGAACCAAAGCUGACCUUCAACCUAACUGAGCUCAACUUUGCUUGUCUUGGGGUUUGGUAUACAUGAGAUCAGAUUCUUCAAAUAAGUCUGGAAGGUAAAGCCUUGUAUAGAUAUGUCACCCUCUCUCUCUAUAUUUUGAGAUUUAGAUGAUAAAAUAAAAUAAAAAGAAAAAAGAAAAACUAAUAAUAGUAAUAUAUAUAUAUAUAGUUAUAGAUGAAAAUUUAGGAAAAGAAUUCGAACAUGACUUGGUGGCUACAACCAUUAAGACUUGAUUCAUAAGAAUGCUAUAGGUAAAAUUGGUGGCUACAACCAUUAAGGCUUGAUUCACAAAGAAUCAUAGAAUAUAUGUCAAAAAGAAGUGAACAAGAUUUGGUGGAAAAAAGAGAAAAUACUAGAGAGAGAGGAAAUGAACUCCCAUUUACCUGCAGGUCCAUAUACUUGUUUGAGCAUCCUUGCAUCUUGUGAUCGUUACUCCCAAUGUAAAGCCUACACUUUUAUUUAUGCAAGAAAUAAGGUUGGUAGAGGGGAUUUUCAGACAUGAUUUGCUAAGUUGUUGACUAUGUGAAUUUGGUUGCUAGACUAGGAUAUAGUAUAAUGUGCUUCUGAGAUUAGGAAUUCCUAAGGUGAUGAUUCUGAGUUUUAAACCUGCGAGUUUUUUAUGUUUUCAAACCUCUUUCAGAGAGAUUGCAUGUAUGUUUUGCUUGAGGACAAGCAAAAGGGUAAGUCUGGGGGAGUUGAUAAGCCAUCGAUUUUACCCACUUUUAGUCAUGGUUUAUAAGUGUUUUAAUAACUAAUUACUAUGAUAGAGAAUCUAUUUAGAGUGUUUACAGGUUCAUGGACGAUUUGGAGGAAAUUGGUGAUUUUGGUGUCUUUUGGAGCCUUUUGAGUGUAGAGCUGCACAGACGUGUCAGAUAUUUAGCUAUGGAUGGAGAUCUUUCCAACGUUAUAUUGAGUCCAUAUUUUAACAGAAGAUAUAGCUUUGAGUUUGAUUUCCAAUGCCACCAGUUUGAGGUCAAUCGGCAUCCUGUAGCAGAAGUUAUGCUCGUUUUACUGAAGAGUGGUCAGUCUACCUCAUGAGAGAAAGCUGUCGAAGAGAUGACGGACAGUCGAUUGAUUACACAUCCUUGGUGUCGAUCGACGGUGAUGCCAUAAUGCGGGCUGAGCAUAUUUUAUGACCGACUGAAGCCCAAAAAUAACCACAAAUUACUAGAAUACUCUUGGACGACCUAAAACCCUAUUUAUGUAUUUUCUAAGCCAUUGUUGAUGACUAAGCUUUCUAUCUAUUGUUUUCUCUUAGGUUAGAGAGAAGGCAGGUACUCUUUGGAGUCCUCCUAGAACUCCUUUGGUUUUUAUAUCUAUUCUAUUGCAGUUUUAUAUCUAUUUAUCUAUGAUUUCUGUAACAAACUUCAUGUUUGAGUAGAUCCACCUAUUAGGUUUAUGGUUCAAAUAGGUUAUGAAUGAUUAGCCCCAAAUAUAGAAUUUCUAGGUUAUGAUAUUCAUCAAUAGGAUGUUCUUACUGCUUUUGUUCUAGAGUCGCGAACUAGAACCAUGAUUUAGAAUCAUUAGGCACAAGUGAUAGCUUGGUCUUUUUCCUGAAUAGAUCCUCAUUGAACUAAGAUUGCUAGAAACAAGUGAUAACUGAUCUAGGAGCCCUAGUGAGUACUUUAUCAACCCGCACGCAAAGCUUGCUAGAAGCGUGUCGAUUGAUAUUGAAAUAGAAUAAUCGAUCGACGUCGUGAAAGGUGUAUCGAUCGAUAGUCCUCUAGAAUCAUCGAUCGACAUUUUCUAAUUGAUCGACAACCGAUUGUUGAGAUCAUUAGAUCUAGUCAAAAUACGAAUCUAGACAGCAAAUGCUGAUGGAUUUGUUCUUAUAAGUGUUGAGUUCUUUAAUAUGUUGCAUACAACAAUUAGUCUCUAUAUCAUUAUAAUCCUGAUUUCCUGAAUAGAAAUCCUAGAUCUAGCAACCAUCCUUCCAUCAAACAACUCUUAGUCCCAUAAGAACAACUACCUUGUUCGCCCUUGCAAUUUACUAUAUUUGCUGCUUUAUAAUCUAUUAGCCUAGCUUAAUCAUAUAACUAUUAGAUCUAUUGUGUUCCCUGGUUCCCUGUGGAUUCGAACCCUUAGUACUACAACUCGAACAGGGUAAUUUGAGUGAUUUCAUAUUCUGUUCCAGUUUUGAUCAGCGACUGCAAAUGGUAUGAAAGUUGACGUACUCGUUGUAUGUAGAUCUUGGUGAUAUAAUCUAUAGUUAUAGUGAUUAUGCUUGUUGUGUUUUACUGCAGGCGUCUUGUUGCAUUUCCCAAAGGAAACAAUGGUGACUACUUGUCUCUCUAUCUGGACGUUGCUGAUUUUGAAACACUGCAUUGUGGAUGGAAAAAAUAUGUGAAACUGAAACUUACUGUAGUUAAUCAACUUUCUCCAAAACUCUCCGUGGUGAAAGAAACAGAGCACUACUUUGAUGGAAAGUCGACAACUUGGGGUUCCAGCAAUGCUUCCGCUUUUCAAACUUCAUGAGAAUGAUGGUGGGUUUCUUGUGAAGUGACAAGUGAUGAUUGUUUCAGAGUUGGAUGUUUUUGAAGUAAUUGGCACAUUUGAUGAUGUGGUGGCUUCUGAGUCUAGUGACCUGCUUAAGAAAACUUCACUUGGGAUCAAUGCCAAUGGGACUAAGCAGGUUGAAAAUUCAGUGAAACCCCCUCCAAAGAAAACUUGAAACAGAAAGUUUGAUUAUUGUUGUUGAUGAUGAUAAUAAGCGCUUAAAACGAGAUUAAAACGAGAUUGUCAUAAAAAAAUUUCAAAAUCUCUGGGUUAUAAAAAAGUUUAUAUUCUAUAUACUGAAAUUUAUAAUUAGUGUUGUUUAGAAAUUUCUACCACAUCCUACAUUUAUAAUAAUGUAUGCUAAAGUUUUCUUCAUAGGACAUGGGCAUCGAUUCUAAUUUUUUAGCAACUAGUUUAAUAAAACUUCAUAUAAGCACAAAUCAGUGGAUAACUACGAUAAACUAUCUAUUCUCUAGACAAACGGACAACAAAGAUUUCAAACUUCUUUGACCAUCAUCCAAUGUCUGUGCAAGAUGCAACAAUGCAUUAAAACAAGAUUGUCAUAUUUUUUUGUCUCAAAAUAUGUGGGUUAACCACUCUCCCCCUAUGAAAAAAUUAAUUUUUUCGAUAAAUGCUCUACAUACUCAAGUUUAUAGAGCAUAGUUGCAUCUCCUGUGUAAAAUCAUCUUGAGGAUUGAGGUAGAACGUGAUUCUUCCUUCCCCUGACCUCCAAAGACCAGCCAUUGCUCUUACGAGAGAAGUUUUUAUUACUCCCACUAGGACCAAUAAUCUGUUAAAAUGCCAUUUAUACCUUAUUUAGCUUCUAGCAGUCCACAUGCAUGAAACCAGAAAUAGUCAAAAGUGAACUAACCAGUAGAUGAUCCUUGUCAUAUAUAUAUAUAUAUAUAUCUGCAACUAAGUUGUGAACUAAUGUGGUUCCAUUUGUUGGUGUCUGAUGAGUGAGCUCCUCGAACUCCAAAAGCUUUUUUGUUCUGUCGAGACUGGACUGAGCCAUUGGAAUCUUGCAAAGAAGACCUCGCCGCACUCUGAUACGUCAGCCUAAUCUCAUCGGAGCGACGCUUCCAAAGAGCCCUCAGCGAAGACGCUUAGGAAACGAGAAACUUUGCUCCGAUGAAUGGUUGAUUCAUGGCGAAGAGGAGGAGAAGAAGAAUGAUCGGAAUGGCGGGGGGAGAAGGUGAGAACAAGUGGUGAAAACGGGAGCUGUUAUCAAAAUCAUCUCUGCUUAUUCUUCAUUUGCUAUUAAGACGCAUUUUCAUUUCUCCAACACCUUUAGACGAAUUGUUAGUAGCCACAAAAACAAACAAAGAUAAUGUUAGUGCAAGAUGACACCACAAAUGAGUAAUAUAGAAGGUAAAUCAAGAGACAAAAUACACAAACAAACACCAAUGCUUUAUUAGAAUCUCCUUAAACAAUCUAUUACAAGAUCUGCUUAAUUUAGCUUUUACACGUCUAGUGUUAUCACCCUAACACACGCUACUGAAAUAUUCCUAAGCUACCCGCUUAUGUCUCUCUACCGUCAAGUACUUCAGCCACUGCUUCAGCACGACCCAGAACACUUCCAAGAGCUUCUCUCUUUCUCUAUAAGAUCAGCCUCUGUGUCUCUGUCUCUAUACAGACGACCCCACAACUAUCUUAUAGUUAUUCUCCAUGUUCCCGAAACCCUAGUCUCCAAGGCAACAUGUAUGGAGGACAUCUUCCAUAACAAUAAGUGCAACUUUUCUUUUCUUGGAAUGCACUUAUUCCUCUUUCUUUAAGUCAUAAACUUACUCCUCAAGUUUAUUCAUUUUUCCAUAUCUCCAAGAUAAUCUCUUGCUCUCCAAGUCUACACGACUCCAGCUCAGCACCUUGAUUCCACAUGGUCUUCACCACUCACCACGACGUCUACUUCAGCAACUACGUCAGCGACUAUUUCAGAGCAUACAUCUUACAUCUUCAAUCUCCCCUUUUUAGCUUUGUGUGCCGAUCAAGCACAACACUUUUCUGGUUCAGCAACCACGUUCCUCACUUGAAAACUUCUAUACCAAAUGUGCUUUUUUUCCCCACGAGAUGUACACCACACCAUGCUUUUCUCCCCCCAUGAGAUA